GCGAAGUGCUCCUCCACACGCCGCGGCCGCCACCACAGCACCUCCAUCAGCUUCACCGCCAUGUACGCCAGGGCCGCCACGGCCGCGGUGAUCCACCACCAGACCAUCGUCAUCUGCACCCAAGGCGCAAUUAUAUGGCAUGGCAGCAGUAACAACAACAUUAUGUGUGGAGCUAGACGCACAGAGAGAUUCCAUCAGAGAUGAGCUGCAGGUUUGAUGGUACGCUGCAUGCAACGCAUGCUUUGUUUCCAUUCUCCAUUGAUUACUUAGCAUGCAUGAUUGGAGGAAAAAGGGGUGCUUAGUGUACCGUCAUAUAUACCAAUGUACAUGUUGCUCAAACCUUGAUUGUAGAGAUCGAGCCUCCAAUCCCAGUGACGUGACAUUGCACAAUAAUGCACAACUGGCAUACACCACCAGAGGUGCUAAGCUUAUUAGCAACACUGCUCACCUGAUGUGUUUGCUCACCACCUGCUAGCUUGCUUGGCCUGUUUCUGUUGAGCUACUAUAACCGGAGCCGCGGAUGGAUGAUGAUUAGAGCCGUCACUCACUAUAGCCAUGUCACGCAAAGGUGCAUGUCUGAAGUCUUUCUUCGUCUGAUGCAUCAGAACGCUGGCUACCUAGCUGACUGAUGAACAAGAUCUCUCUUAGCUCGUUGGAUGGAUGGGUGUAGGCACUGUUGGCAUGGAGCGGUGUGCCGCGAUCGAGAACGUGCCAAAGUUUCCUUGUGGGUGAUGCCUGAGGUUGGCUAGGGCCGGCGCUGCUGCAGCAGCUAGGUAGCGAGCAGCAGACGCAGGGAGGCUGGAGGAGGCAUGCAUGCUGUGCGCGGCGCUGUUGCUGCGAUGGGGUGGUGAUGGUGGUGGUGGCCAUGGAUGGGAGAGAGGGGGAGUGGUGUGGGAAAAGACUUGACAUGCAAUUGGAUGAGCAGGGUGAGGUCCAGGUUAUAUCUACCCAUGUCCGUUUUUCUGAUAUGCUGCUUCCGCUGAGGUGAGCCAUCACGCACUAGCUAGCUACACUCCCCGAUCCAGAUCGGGUAAAACGUGUGAAACCACAUGAGAUGCAUGCAUGUCCAUCUACAGGGUAGCUAGCUAGCUAGGUUGUAGGAGGCUAGUAUAUACGCCUGCUGUAGUGUGUUUAUAAGCAUUUUGCGUAAAAUUGUAUCUCUUAUCUUAUUUCCAUAUCCAUUUAUCUCUCUGGUGACUGUUUGCGUACUGCAUGUGUGAUGUAUGUC